UCAAAUUAACCAAUGAAAACAGAGGAAACAUAAGGGGGACCAACAGGCGUUGGAGAGGAGGGGCAGACACAUCUCCCCGGAGAUGGUUGCUGCGGCGAUGGGACGGCUGGGAAAGGAGAACGUUGUCCUGCAGUCGGUGAACAGUCCGGUGACAGUGAAUAAUAAGACUCCAGUUAGGGUCAAGGCCUCUGAUAGCAUGGCCCUCAAUAGAGAUAGGGGACUCAAACUAUCAAAGGACUCUCCAUCCAUCUCCAGAAUGUGUUUCUCUCCCUCCCUAGAAACGUCGAUGUAGAGGAUUGGUACUAGCAACACUGGACUUGUUUUUUUCUUUUUUUUAACACAAGUAAACUAUAUUGUAACUUUGUAAAUCCGUGACGAAUACAACAUUAGUCCCCAGACAGACAUGGGUUGCAUCCCAAUAAUCUCUUCUUCCUCCUGAAGUGUGCACUUGUUCACUUCCCUCAAUGGGUUUGAAAAGAAAUGACUGGAAAACCUAUAUGGAAACUCCUUCUAGCCCAUGCCUACACAAUCCAAGACUUUUCCAUUUUGUGGGGAGUAGUGAAUGAGUGCACACUUCAGGGGGAGAGAUUAUUGGGACGUAACCCAGGAAAGUACAAGACCAACUCAGUGUGGAGGCAGGGACAGAAGGUAGCUUUCUUUGGUUUGUUGGGGUCUGAGUGCCACUCAUAACUUGAAACAGGUUUGUUAGACACUUUCACUGUUGUUCACUAGCUGAGCCUACAUAGAUACUUUUACAGUUGACCACUAGCUGAGCCUACAUAGAUACUUUUACAGUUGACCAAUAGCUAAGCCUACAUAGAUACUUUUACAGUUGACCAAUAGCUAAGCCUACAUAGAUACUUUUACAGUUGACCAAUAGCUAAGCCUACAUAGAUACUUUUACAGAUGACCGCUAGCUGAGCCUACAUAGAUACUUUUACAGGUGACCGCUAGCUGAGCCUACAUAGAUACUUUUACAGUUGACCAAUAGCUAAGCCUACAUAGAUACUUUUACAGAUGACCGCUAGCUGAGCCUACAUAGAUACUUUUACAGGUGACCACUAGCUGAGCCUACAUAGAUACUUUUACAGGUGACCGCUAGCUGAGCCUACAUAGAGACUUUUACAGGUGACCGCUAGCUGAGCCUACAUAGAGACUUUUACAGGUGACCGCUAGCUGAGCCUACAUAGAUACUUUUACAGGUGACCGCUAGCUGGGCCUACAUAGAUACUUUUACAGGUGACCGCUAGCUGAGCGUACAUAGAUACUUUUACAGGUGACCGCUAGCUGAGCCUACAUAGAUACUUUUACAGGUGACCGCUAGCUGAGCGUACAUAGAUACUUUUACAGGUGACCGCUAGCUGAGCCUACAUAGAUACUUUUACAGGUGACCGCUAGCUGAGCCUACAUAGAUACUUUUACAGGUGACCGCUAGCUGAGCCUACAUAGAUACUUUUACAGGUGACCGCUAGCUGAGCCUACAUAGAUACUUUUACAGGUGACCGCUAGCUGAGCCUACAUAGAUACUUUUACAGGUGACCGCUAGCUGAGCCUACAUAGAUACUUUUACAGGUGACCGCUAGCUGAGCCUACAUAGAUACUUUUACAGGUGACCGCUAGCUGAGCCUACAUAGAUACUUUUACAGGUGACCGCUAGCUGAGCCUAUAAUGUACUAUAUGUAAGUAUCUUGUUUGUUUUUUAAAAUCUUCUUCUGAAUCUGAUGCUACUCUGAUGCUACUACUCAUCUGAAAAUGUCCCGUUUAAUUUGACUAAUAUAAGUCCCAAUGGUUGCCCUACACACACAGCACACUGAUGGGAUGAUUAUAUCCCCCUACAAAAUGCUGAUUAGCACCAGGCACAGUCGUCUGGGGCCUGUUCCAAAAAGCUGGAUCAGUGAGUUGGCCAGCAAACUGGCUCAAAUUGCUUGAAAUUGUUUGUAAUGACUCAACAGAAACAACCAAUAUACAAAUGUAGAUUAUUUUAAUCAACCAGGAAACAUAAGGCAAAGGCUGUUAAUCAAAGUUAGCUGGCUGCUGUAUUAAGCCUGCCUUCUGGAAUACCCCACAGCUCUUAUGGUGUCUAAAGGCCAGUGGGUUUACUGAUACUGUCUGUUAGCUGAAAUGGCGCCCCCGUUCCAUAUAUAGUGCACUAUUGGCCAAAAGUAGUGCACUACACUUUAUAGUCGUGCAUGUGGUGGUGUUGGAGAGACACUGGCUCAGGGUUUUCUUUAAUCUAUAUCAUACAAAUACAGGUCAAUACAUAUUGGAUGAUGAUGAACAAAUACGAGCUGAACAAACCAGCCUUUCUGUAAUGGUAUUUGCGUUUGGGAGAGACGUAGGUAGGGCUUCACUUUGGGACGACUAUUUAAUUUUUAUUGUCUGAGAUUUGUGUAUUAACUGAUUGUACACAUUGUGGAGUUUAAUGUCAUAUUUCACUUGCCUGGUUUGGCCUUUGAGGUUUGAUAGUUAAAUGUGAUUAUAAUUUUAUAAAUUUUUGUUUUUAACUGGAAGUCAUGGGUUUUGGGUAGGUAUUGGUUGGGACGCUAACGUUGUUGAAAGAUUUUCUGGAAGUCUGAGAUGGUUUUUUCUUUGUUGGAGAGGGACAUUUGUAGUGACGGUGUCAAUAGAGGAUUCUCUUACAGUACCUUCAGUGUUGCCUGGUCUGAUACAAGUCGUCUUUAUUGAGCGUGGAUUGGGACAUUUGAUCUGGGUCAUGUUCAUUGGGAAUCAAAUAGAACAAGACGGAUUCAAACUGGGAGGGACUACCUGGACUUCACUUUCUGUUGCAGAACGUUUUGAAAAGUUUUUGUUGUGUACCCUAAUGGACAUGACGUUUGUUUUAAUGGGGCUGUUUUUAGAGGAAGUGUUAAUGGGGAAUGUGUGAGAAUGGGUUUGUGGUAAGUUUUAAAGAGAUGGGUGUGUGUUUUUAUACAUGAAAUGAAAGACACCAGAAGCUUGCUGCUGAGGUUAUCAAUAUGGCUUUGUUUUUUUACUCUUUAUUUGAUCUGUGCUGGUCAAGUAGCCUACAUAUUUUACAUGUUAUUCCACUGCUUUAAAGAUAACUUUUGUUAUCUUUUCUCUCUGUUACCUGAAGGUUUUCAGCCAAUCAAGGCCCAACACAUUAUUUUGAGUGUCAUUUUGAAAAGCUGAAGGGUCAUCUGGCCAUUAGUGGUUGAUACACACUGAGUCUUGCUGGAAACAGUUUUGCUAAUGUGCGACCAUCUUUGUGAUGUGAGUCAGUUCUAGAUUACAUGAUACAACAUGUGGGCAUUAUCUUUUACUCUCCCUUAUUAUUGUUGUGUUACAUGUGUGUCUUGUAUGUUGAAAGUCUUUGGUUUUGUCAGCCAGUGUUGACCAUGGUCAUAAAUGUUUACACAUCAACUGUACACUACUACUAGUUUUUCAGGUUAUUUUUGUUCAGUUUCAUUCUGCCCUGUUUAUCUGUGAAUAACAACAGCAUGGGAAUGUGUCCCAAAUGGCACCCUAUUCCCUAUAUAGUGUACUACUUUAGAACAGGGCCCUAUUCCCUAUAUAGUGCACUACUUUAGACCAGAACCCUAUUCCCUAUAUAGUGUACUACUUUUGAGCUGAGCUCUGUGCCCCGGUCAGAAGUAGUGCACUACAUAGGGGGCAAUUUGAGAUGCAGACAUGGAGUUACAUUACAGUAUACUAUGUUUAUUUUAGGAGACGUUAUCUCACAUUGCUGCCUAGAUUUACUACCAUGCAUCUUCCUCUGUUCAUAUACACCUGUUACCAGUGCCUUUUUAUUGUAAGGUCAUUUUAGCCUACCUUUACAUGUUUAGUUUUUGUUGUGUAAAAUGUUUUUUAACUCUGUCAAAUAGAUGCAUUGAUUUACUACUGAUGCUAUGGAUUAAAACAUAAUUUUUUUUA